rnacentral:rRNA from 1 species
GAUGAACGCUGGCGGCGUGCUUAACACAUGCAAGUCGAGCGAAGCACUUUGGAAAGAUUCUUCGGAUGAUUUGCUUUGUGACUGAGCGGCGGACGGGUGAGUAACGCGUGGGUAACCUGCCUCAUACAGGGGGAGAACAGAUAGAAAUGACUGCUAAUACCGCAUAAGACCACGGUACCGCAUGGUACAGUGGUAAAAACUCCGGUGGUAUGAGAUGGACCCGCGUCUGAUUAGGGAGUUGGUGGGGUAACGGCAUACCAAGGCGACGAUCAGUAGCCGAGAGGGGAGGGUGACCGGCCACAUUGGGGCUGAGACACGGCCCAGACUCCUACGGGAGGCAGCAGUGGGGAAUAUUGCACAAUGGAGGAAGCUCUGAUGCAGCGACGCCGCGUGAAGGAUGAAGUAUUUCGGUAUGUAAACUUCUAUCAGCAGGGAAGAAAAUGACGGUACCUGACUAAGAAGCCCCGGCUAACUACGUG